rnacentral:rRNA from 1 species
AUGCGGCGGCUACUGGUCCACCUCGACGGCGACGGCCCUGGUCUAUCUCCUGGGCUCGAGCAACGUCACUCCCAAGCCUUGAAGGUCGUCCUCACUGUCGGGAGCAUCGGUGAAGCAGAGAGGACGGAGAGCGCGCACCUGUCGCUGAGGCGUGGAUGGGAUGGUGCUGCUCCGCCGUGGUAUAGCACUCUAGCUGGUGGUGGCCGGUGUCGUGCUCGAGCGGGUAAGGUAGUCGGGGAAGCACCAUGGCGCUCGUCCAUCCGCUACUCCCCGCUGCCAGCCCAAGUAGCUCCCCGCCAUGGAGCUCCAUGGUUAGAAGCAAUCGCGGACACAUGGAUCUCGAGCUCAUCCUUGAUGGGAGGCAUAGCAAAGGAGAUCGUACUCGUGCAGGUGGGAGAAAGGACGACACUAGCAAGGACCGAGACGGCAACGUCCAUGCAGUGGCUGGCCAUGUCACUGCCAUGGUUCGGCGAGGGAGGAGCGCUCGAAGCGGAGGAUGUAGAGUCGUCACGGAGGCGCCGCCGGGAGUCGCGGCUACACAACCGCUGGGUCGCGCGGCAGGACAAGGAGGUGUUGUCGGACCGAGAUGACGACAUUCACGCGGUGGUUGGCCAUGGCGCUGCCGUGGUUCAAUGGUGGAGGAGGGCACAAGGGGGAGGAGGCUGGUUUAUUUUCCAGCCAAAGCGAUACAGUAUAAGGGUAUAA